CACCAUCUCACGAGGAGGUGAUGCUAGCAAAGAAUCUGGAUGUGUCUCAAAGGCUGGUGAACGAGGCACGAGGUGUUGUUGUAGGAUUUGAAAGUGAACAGAAGGAGGGACAGUCUGUCGCUAGAACCCAGUAUGACAACAUGGGAUUUUUUUUUUUAAAGAACUCUUUAUUGUGGUAAGUGUACUGCAAGAACAGAGCUCCUCUUCUCUUCAUUAGUCAGUAAAAUGAAGAAUCUGAAGGCUGAGCAGCUUUUUAUACAAGGCUGCCACAAAACCAUCCUCAAAAUGUCUAGUGCUGCUGUUGCUUUCACCUACUGAGGCAAGGUGGGCUUAGCAGGCUGGAUUCUUGUGAGGACAAUUCACAUGGCUCAUGACAGAGCAAGCACCUGUGCCAUUCUCCAUUUACACAACCUAGAGUUCGUGCUUUUCCCCUGCCCCUCCAUGGAUC